rnacentral:pre_miRNA from 1 species
AUGGGGAGCGCUGGAUCCUGGGCUGUGUCCCCAGCACUUUGGGCCCCAGCCUGUGCCACUGAAAUCACGCUCCCGGACCGCACAGCCCCCU